AGCGAACGCUGGCGGCAGGCCUAACACAGGCAAGUCGAACGGACCCUUCGGGGUUAGUGGCGGACGGGUGAGUAACACGUGGGAACGUGCCUUUAGGUUCGGAAUAGCUCCUGGAAACGGGUGGUAAUGCCGAAUGUGCCCUUCGGGGGAAAGAUUUAUCGCCUUUAGAGCGGCCCGCGUCUGAUUAGCUAGUUGGUGAGGUAAUGGCUCACCAAGGCGACGAUCAGUAGCUGGUCUGAGAGGAUGACCAGCCACACUGGGACUGAGACACGGCCCAGACUCCUACGGGAGGCAGCAGUGGGGAAUCUUGCGCAAUGGGCGAAAGCCUGACGCAGCCAUGCCGCGUGAAUGAUGAAGGUCUUAGGAUUGUAAAAUUCUUUCACCGGGGACGAUAAUGACGGUACCCGGAGAAGAAGCCCCGGCUAACUUCGUGCCAGCCGCCGCGGUAA
rnacentral:rRNA from 1 species